rnacentral:lncRNA from 1 species
AUGGACCCAAAUGCAGACCAAGGACACUUGAACAGCCAGAAAGAGAAAUGCAAGAAAGUUAGAGGAGUUGUGUUACUCUCCACCUGCUCUAACAAAUGCGCCUCAGGUGUCUGGCGCCUCCGAGCCUUCUCACUGGGGACCGCCCUAUCCACACACCGGAGCGCGCCCGGGCUGUCCCCAGGACUCCGCAGGAGAGACAGCCUUCGCUGCCUGCUCGCCUUUGAAUCCUUUAUCACUCUGCCUGUCUCGGACCGCACUGCUUUAUGGAAAUGCGCUGCUGGCAGAUAAUCUGUGUGGCUGCAGAUGGUGGUGCGGUUACCGUGAGUGGGAAGGGAAAGAGGGCGAGGCAGCUGCCAGGGGACGGGAGAAACAGCAGGAGCGCCCCAAGCCCCAGCCUCCAGUUCGGCUCCUCAUCUUCAGCAUGACCCUGAAUUGCUUCACCGGGCCUCAGCACAAAAGGGAAAGGAUUUUUGCUAAAAUAAAAAAAAAAAAAAAAAAAAAAGCCCCGAAGUGUUCCUUUAGGAUUAGAUAUUUUUAACAUGUUCCCUCUUCCUCCUCUGUCCCUCUAAAUAUUUUGGGGUUUUUUUUCUUUCUGCUCACUGACUCUGAUUUACCUUCUGCAGUUCUGUACACUACUAAAUUUCACUAAAAUUUAAGACAAUAGAAGUCUCUCACCCAAGGUCCUUGUCAUGGAGCUGAUGGGAGAAGAAAAUAAUCUUUUGUGAGGAAGAAAGCUAAAGGAGAACCAGAAAAGCACACCCCAAGUAGGAGAUAAAUUUCAGAUUUUGGGGAAAGUGGGUAAAACCCUAACCAGACAGGGCCUGGAAAUGGGGGAGGGGGAGACGAAAUAAGGAGCAGCAGCUGGGAGCAGGAAGGAGGAGCGGGAGGAGGAACGUGGAGACAGAGGUCACUGGGGUUUUGUGCAGUUUCCCGGCCAUCUCAGAUUCACUCCAAGGCAAGGAUAGAAGGAAUGAAGCAGGAUUUGCCAUAGCCAUGAAAAGGAUUUUGGAUUUUAUUGUAGGAAUCGCUGAAAUAGAUAUUGAGAGUCAAGGAGAAGGAGGAGUCAGGAUGUUAACUUGAGCAACCGAUGAUGCCAUUUAUGGAGGUGAAGAACUCUAGGCAAGGACCUGGGUCAAGAAUCUAAAGAACUUCACGGUGCU